ACGCUGGCGGCGUGCCUAAUACAUGCAAGUCGAGCGAAGUUUUUCUGGUGCUUGCACUAGAAAAACUUAGCGGCGAACGGGUGAGUAACACGUAAAGAACCUGCCUUAUAGACUGGGACAACUAUUGGAAACGAUAGCUAAUACCGGAUAACAGCAUUAACUGCAUGGUUGAUGUUUGAAAGUUGGUUUUGCUAACACUAUGAGAUGGCUUUGCGGUGCAUUAGCUAGUUGGUGGGGUAAAGGCCUACCAAGGCAACGAUGCAUAGCCGACCUGAGAGGGUGAUCGGCCACACUGGGACUGAGACACGGCCCAGACUCCUACGGGAGGCAGCAGUAGGGAAUCUUCCGCAAUGGGCGAAAGCCUGACGGAGCAACGCCGCGUGAGUGAAGAAGGAUUUCGGUUCGUAAAGCUCUGUUGUUAGGGAAGAAUGAUUGUGUAGUAACUAUACACAGUAGAGACGGUACCUAACCAGAAAGCCACGGCUAACUACGUGCCAGCAGCCGCGGUAAUACGUAGGUGGCAAGCGUUGUCCGGAAUUAUUGGGCGUAAAGCGCGCGCAGGUGGUUUAAUAAGUCUGAUGUGAAAGCCCACGGCUCAACCGUGGAGGGUCAUUGGAAACUGUUAAACUUGAGAGCAGGAGAGAAAAGUGGAAUUCCUAGUGUGGCGGUGAAAUGCGUAGAGAUUAGGAGGAACACCAGUGGCGAAGGCGGCUUUUUGGCCUGUAACUGACACUGAGGCGCGAAAGCGUGGGGAGCAAACAGGAUUAGAUACCCUGGUAGUCCACGCCGUAAACGAUGAGUGCUAAGUGUUGGUCUCAUAAGAGAUCAGUGCUGCAGCUAACGCAUUAAGCACUCCGCCUGGGGAGUACGACCGCAAGGUUGAAACUCAAAGGAAUUGACGGGGACCCGC
rnacentral:rRNA from 1 species